rnacentral:lncRNA from 1 species
CUGGUAACCUAGGAAGGGGCAAGGGUCACUACAAUGUUAAUUGGUGUCUGCAGAUCAGACCCAUUUUUCUAUAGUGAAUAAUUUAAAAACAAUGUCAUUCAUUAAAUGAACCAAUGCCCUUGACUUCUUAAAAGAGGUGAAGGGAAUUAAUCACAGUAAGUUCUCUGAACAUAAAAAUUAACUAAGUUUAUAGUGCUGGAACUGAUGUGUGUGCGAUAACAGUACAUUAUAUUUGAAAGGGAUGACCAGAAGACAGCAGCAGGAAUUAAACUAAAGCCAAGAAACUGAGCACAGCUCCUUGGACAAAUCUUAAUCUUGGCUGAUGCCAUAUCUGGUGGGGGUGAGCUGAAGUGUACUUCACUGUGCAUAGAGAGAGAAACCUGCUUUUGAAACUCCUUCCAGAAGCAUACUAUCUUUUCGUAAGUGGGAAAUGUCUUGUGUUUUGCCUUGUGUUUCUUGUUUGAUGGCAUGCCUGGGUCUUCUUUCUUAUUUUUACCUUGUCUGCAGAUUUUUCCACCACAAAGAGAGCUCCCAGAUGAUUAUGCACUCUUCUGCCCAGUGAACAAAAGGAAGCAUAAUCUGGACUAACUACAGGUUGAAUAUCCCAGGUUCUUCUCAGGUUAUGGUUGGCUGAGCUAUACUUAUUGAACACCUGCUGUAAAUAACCAUCAUGAAGAUGAAGCCUUGUAGGUUCCAAUUGUGGUUUACCCACAGAGUGUUCUGGGCAAAUCACUCUGUGAUUCUGUUUUCCGUGUCAUUAAAAGAGGAGAGUAUUACCACCCUCCUAAAAUGGGUAUUGUGAGGAUUAAAUGGAAACAAAAUAGGUUUUGUGGAAAUUGUAAAUGUUACCUUAACACUACACCAAUGUUAGUUAUUUUUUCCCAGUAUCUGAAAUUUGGGAGGAAAGAAUAAAAGACAGAAAAAUGAAAAAGAAGAGGAAGAGAAGGAAGAAGAGAGGGUGUGUGGAUUUUGACCUUGAGAUGCUUAUACAUGUGUGGCAGAGAAACAAAACAAAUGACAUGAAAUGAUGCUGUAAAUUGGGAAACUUUAUACAUUUAGUUGGCUCUGCUGAUUGUUCUAAUUACCAGUUGAUAUGGUUUGGCUGCAUGCCCACCCAAAUCUCAUCUUGAAUUGUAGUUCCUAUAAUCCCCAUGUGUCAUGGGAGGGACCUGGUAGGAGGUAAUUGAAUCAUGGGGGUGGUUUCCCUCAUGCUAUUCUCGUGAUAAUGAGUAAGUUCUCACAAUAUCUGGUGGCUUUAUAAGGGGCUUCCCCCUUCACUCAGUUCUCAUUCUUUUCUCUCCUUUUGCUAUGUGAAGAAGGACAUGUUUGCUUCUCCUGCCAUGGCUGGAAGUUUCCUGAGGCCUCCCCAGCCAUCCUGAACUGUGAGUCAAUUAAACCUCUUUCCUUUAUAAAUUACCUAGUCUUGGGUAUGUCUUUAUUAGCAGUGUGAGAACUAACUAAUACAGUUAAUUGGUACUGAGAGUGGAGUGCUGCUAUAAGGAUACCUGAAUGUGGAAUGCAACUUUGGAACUUAGUAACAGGCAGAGGUUGGAACAGUUUGGAGGGCUCAGAAGUAGAUGGGAAAAUG